rnacentral:rRNA from 1 species
UAGCGNUGCCGCGUGAGUGACGAAGGNCUUAGGAUCGUAAAGCUCUUUCGCCAGGGAUGAUAAUGACAGUACCUGGUAAAGAAACCCCGGCUAACUCCGUGCCAGCAGCCGCGGUAAUACGGAGGGGGUUAGCGUUGUUCGGAAUUACUGGGCGUAAAGCGCACGUAGGCGGAUCAAUAAGUUAGAGGUGAAAUCCCAGGGCUCAACCCUGGAACUGCCUUUAAUACUGUUGGUCUAGAGUUCGAGAGAGGUAAGUGGAAUUCCGAGUGUAGAGGUGAAAUUCGUAGAUAUUCGGAGGAACACCAGUGGCGAAGGCGGCUUACUGGCUCGAUACUGACGCUGAGGUGCGAAAGUGUGGGGAGCAAACAGGAUUAGAUACCCUGGUAGUCCACUGCUGCCUCCCGUAGGAA